rnacentral:rRNA from 1 species
UCACUUGUGGGGGGAUUAGUGGCGAACGGGUGAGUAACACGUGAGUAACCUGCCCUUCACUCUGGGAUAAACCUGGGAAACUGGGUCUAAUACCGGAUAUGACUCCUCAUCUCAUGGUGGGGGGUGGAAAGCUUUUUGUGGUUUUGGAUGGACUCGCGGCCUAUCAGCUUGUUGGUGAGGUAAUGGCUCACCAAGGCGACGACGGGUAGCCGGCCUGAGAGGGUGACCGGCCACACUGGGACUGAAACACGGCCCAGACUCCUACCGGAAGCAGCAGUGGGGAAUAUUGCACAAUGGGCGAAAGCCUGAUGCAGCGACGCCGCGUGAGGGAUGACGGCCUUCGGGUUGUAAACCUCUUUCACUAUGGAAGAAGCGAAAGUGACGGUACCUGCAGAAGAAGCGCCGGCUAACUACAUGCCAGCAGCCGCGGUAAUACGUAUGGCGCAAAGCGUUAUCCGGAACUAUUGGGCGUAAAGAGCUCGU